rnacentral:lncRNA from 1 species
CCUCCGCUUCCCCCAAGGUUGGCGCCCGGGAGCCGUGCUCUGGGACCACACUCCUCUUUGGCUCUGGGAAUUUCUCCUCCCACGUGGAGGCCCCCACAGCAGUGGACACCACCCAGCCAGGCCCACCUGACCGGUCAGGCUCAAACCCUCUGGUACCCGCCCCACCCAUAGGACCAGGUGUAAACCAGGCAGCGACACCCCAGACGUGUGGUCUUGGUCAGCUCCCCUGGGCUCCUCUCCCUCCAGCUGGCCCUUCUCUGCCCAGGAAACAGUUUUCUGAAGAGUUCUCCGUUCUCGAGCCUUCCAGCUGCGUGGGAGAGAGUUGACCCCAAGGCUGGGACCACAAGAGGCCAGGGAGGGUGGGCCUGGGAUCUGCAGCUCACGGGCUGUGUGACUGUGGGCACGAGAUUUCAUUUCCUGAUUCAUAAAGGUGGGGACCGAUCAAAGCUACUCCUUGGACCUUUGUGAAGAUUAAAUGAGUUCAACACGGAGCAUUCUUGACCCAUGGGCCAUCCCCAGAUGAGGCUGCAGCAUUGCCCCGUGUGCUCUCAGCUGGUGCCAGUGUUGUCUGGAACUGUCUGGACCUACCUGGAAACUGAGUACCUACAGGGUUUUGUCACUUACAGUGAUUGCCAUGGUCUGAAUGCUUGUGUCCUCCUCGAAAGUUCUGACAGCUCACUUCAUUUCACGUGGUGUGCAAGCUUCUGUCAAACAACGGAACAAACUAUGAGAACCACUUCCAGCCACUGCUUCUGCACACUUCUCUGCUAAGUGAGUCUCUGCUGUGUGAGUCUCAUUGGUAAAACUACCCUGAUCUAACAUUCUGUUACCUCCUUUGUGGUCCAACACUCCAAGAGUCCACGGCCUCAGACGCCCCUGGGUUUCUGCUGAUGUAAAUUGGCAAAAACUUGCAUUCAGUGUGUAUGUGGCUCCUCUUGGGUCUCACUGUGUGUUUAUCCCUCUGCACCCAACUCUAGUCAUGGCUCUGGGAAUAAUGAGGGUCGGUGGAGGUGGAUCUCAAGGGAGAUCUGUCAUCUUGCAAGGCUGUUUCCUCAAGUGAAGCCAUCACAGAUCUUUGGGCACAGUUUUACUCACCUCAGACUCUAAGGAAGAGUCACUUCUGCUUACAGGGAGACUCAGGAAGGUCUAAUGUUCAGGGGACUCAGAGUCAGAGAAAUCCACCCUCUCCAGUUCUCGAGGUCUCAUUCUUUCCAAAUAAAUGCCUUAACUUUGACUUAAGAGAUUUAGUAAGACAUUUAAUUAUUCUUUAGUUGUAAUUCAUUAGCCUGCAAGAUCAAAUUUGUACUCUGCAUUUAAAAAAAAAAGUUGACUCUACAGCUACAAGAACUAAAAUGGUUUUUUUAGGACAGCUAUAGAAGGGCUCUGGUUCUCUGUCUAUACCUUCAGCUGAGCACUUAAGGCCACAGCUUGUCAUUUUCUUUGUCAGUUCCCCAGUGCAAUAAGCAGCAGCCACCCCAUGCCACAUCCUUGUAUGCAUGGUUUCCAUCCACAUCCUAAUGUCCUAUUGCAAGAGCCCCCUGGUGUCUGAAACCCAGGCUUGUGAUGGGCACUGCAUCGCAGAGACCUCAAGGUAAUGAUUUUACCAGUGACAAUGUUUAUAGAUUAUCUGCAUCCUGCUUCCCACUCCUCACGUGGUCCUCACUGACAUCAGACAAAACCUGGUCUGUCCAAUUACUAACUCCAGAUUCCCAUCUUCAAGGUUCUGCCUUCCUGGAAACACUGCUGGUACCAGGAAUGGUUGGUCGGGAACACUAAAGUCACUCUAGGUAUUUUGGGUAGAAGGAGAUUCAUUGCAGGGAACUCUAGGCUUACAGAAAUGUUGAGAACUUUGGGGACUGAAGGUUAUUUCAGGAGAUCUGGAAGUGCAGGGAUAGAAGGGUAGCAUCCAUUGCCCCCUGAUAACUGUACCACUGACAUGGCUAGAAACCACCCCAGUGAUCCCAGCUGCUUGUAGCACCUCAGGGUGAUUCUCAAACUGACUCCAGAAGCCAAGGUACACUGCUGCCAAUGACUGCAGGGGCCUCUGCAAAACGGACGUUGAUGAAUGAAACAAAGUGUGAUCUACCCAUAGCAGGGAAUGUUAUUCAUCCUUAAAAAGGAAGGAAAUCCUGCAGCUCACGCCUGUCAUCCCAGCUCUUUGGGAAGCUGAGGCAGGAGAAUGGCUUGAGGCCAGGAGUUUGAGACCAGCCUGGGCAACAUAAUGAGACCCCCGUCUCUACAAAAAACAAUUUAAAAAAUUUGCUGUAGUCCCCGCUACCCAGGAGACUGAAGCAGGAGGAUAGCUUGAGCCCAGGAAGUUGAGGCUGCAGUGAGCUAUGAUCUCUCCUGUCUCUAAAAAAGAAAAAAAAUAAAAGGAAAGAAAUUAAUUCUCACACAGGCUACAAAAUGGAUGAACCUUGAGGACAUUAUGCUGAAUCAAAGAAGCCAUUCAGCAAAGGAUAAAUCCUAUAAGCUUCCCCGUAUAUGAGGAACCCAGAGCAGUGAAAUCCCCAGUGACAGGAAGUGGAUGGUGGGCACCAGGGGCUGGCAGAGAGGAUGGGAGUCAGUCUUCCAUGGGGACAGGGACAGCUUCAGUUUGGGAAGCUGAAGAAGUUCUGGAGAUGAUGAUGGUGGUGACAAGUGCACACCAACGUGAAUGUAUCAGGGACAGCUUCAGUUUGGGAACUUGAAGAAGUUCUGGAGAUGACGAUGGUGGUGACAGGUGCAUACCAACGUGAAUGUAUCAGGGACAGCUUCGGUUUGGGAAGCUGAAGAAGUUCUGGAGAUGAUGAUGGUGGUGACAGGUGCACACCAAUGUGAAUGUAUCAGGGACAGCUUCGGUUUGGGAAGCUGAAGAAGUUCUGGAGAUGAUGAUGGUGGUGACAGGUGCACACCAACGUGACUGUAUCAGGGACAGCUUCAGUUUGGGAAGUUGAAGAAGUUCUGGAGAUAAUGAUGGUGGUGACAGGUGCACACCAACAUGAAUGUAUCAGGGACAGCUUUGGUUUGGGAAGCUGAAGAAGUUCUGGAGAUGAUGAUGGUGGUGACAGGUGCACACCAACGUGAAUGUAUCAGGGACAGCUUCGGUUUGGGAAGCUGAAGAAGUUCUGGAGAUGAUGAUGGUGGUGACAGGUGCACAGCAAUGUGAAUGUAUCUAAUGGCACUAAACUGUGCACUUUAAAACUGCAUGCAUUUACAAUGGUAAAUUUUAUGUUAUGCGCAUUCCACUGUAGUGAAAAAGAGUUAACUUCACCUGAAAUGAAUUCGUGUGGUAACCAUUGG